GCAAGGCUGGCUCAGUCGUUGCAGCGUGAGACUCUUGAUCUCAGGGUUGUGGGUUCGAGCCCCAUGUUGAGUG
rnacentral:tRNA from 1 species